GCUGGGCAUUUCUUAUGUUCCACAUGUACAACAUGAGACUGUUAAUCUCAAGGUCAUGGGUUCAAGCCCCAGGUUUGGCA